rnacentral:rRNA from 1 species
UACGUAGGGGGCUAGCGUUGUUCGGAAUUACUGGGCGUAAAGCGCACGUAGGCGGUGUUCCAUGUCAGAGGUGAAAGCCUGGGGCUCAACUCCAGAAUUGCCUUUGAAACGGGGACGCUUGAGUCCGAGAGAGGGUGGCGGAAUUCCUAGUGUAGAGGUGAAAUUCGUAGAUAUUAGGAAGAACACCAGUGGCGAAGGCGGCCUCCUGGCUCGGUCCUGACGCUCAGGUUCGAAAGCGUGGGGAGCAAACAGG